rnacentral:rRNA from 1 species
GACGGGCAGUUUAACUGGGGAGGUUGCCUCCAAAAAUGUAACGGAGGCGUACAAAGGUUGGCUAAUCCCGGAUUGGAAAUCGGGACGUGUCGUGCAAACGCGAUAAGCCAGCUUGACUGCGAGACAUACAGGUCGAGCAGAUGCGAAAGCAGGUGUUAGUGAUCCUCGCAUCCCUCGUGGGAGGGAGCGGGCUUAACGAAUAAAAGCUACUCCGGGGAUAACAGGCUGAUCGCUUCCGAGAGUCCAUAUCGACGAGGCGGUUUGGCACCUCGAUAGUCCCGCAAUGUGGGACAUGUCGCCUACGAGAGCAAUCUUGUAGAGAAAAUUCAGCUCAUAUCGGUGAAACCCGACUUGGCCAUUGAACCCGGCCAAAGGGCAAUACCGAGGGAAGGCCGCCACUCAUUUGAGAGUUCAAAUGAAGGCGUGCCCCCGUAACGACUGAUGUCUGAUUCGCUUGUCAAAAAAAGCAAUCGAGACUGAGAUAGAUGAUGAAUAUUUCCAUCUAUCACACGCUGAGCCCCGCGCCCGCACAAAUAGUUGAAAUUUGAUCGGGUUCGGGUGAUGGUAUAGUCUAUGCCUCGAGAAAUCGGGGAGAAACAUGGUCGGCUCGUCCUAUCCUGGGGCUGGAGAAGGUCCCAAGGGUCCGGCUGUUCGCCGGUUAAAAGGGCACGCGAGCUGGGUUCAGAACGUAAAUUUCAUUGCGUUCUAUGUCAGUAAUGGCAUACAAUAAAAGUGAAGUCAGAGACUUCUGCUUUCUAUCGCCCAAACGAGGAAAAAGAUAGAAAGAAUCGACUAAAAUCGGUGAAACCCAAUACGAUACCGAACGUUUUUAUUGGGCGAUACCGAGGGUAAGAUAAGAAACGACGGUAGAUGAUAGAGCAUAGAAAAUAGUCCCGCUCGAAGCGGGAUUGAAUAUCGAAGAUAGAAAAUAGAACGCGCAAGAUAUAUGAUCCGGUCAUUUAAAGAUUUGGAAGUGUAUGCGGAAUCCUACAAAUUAGCAAUUCUUGUCAAUCAAAACGUGAAUAAAUUCCCACUCUUUGAGAAGAAUGAUCUAGGGUCGCAGUUGCGGCGAUGUUCCAAAUCUCCUCCGGCAAAUAUUGCUGAGGGCUGGGCAAAGCGAAGAUUCCCAAAAGAAUUUAAGCGGUAUCUUGAUUCCGCCAUUGGUUCGUGCAACGAGAUAGAGGUACAUAUCUGCAUGGCCAGAGAUUUACGAUUUUGGGAAAAGAAAUUUUGUGAAGAUUUAAUCCAGCGCUAUAUUUAUCUAGGGGGUAAGCUCGUUAAGUUGCGUGAUAAUUGGAAGACGUUUUAACUUCCAUCGCUCUAUUUUCUACAACCAUUUUCUAUAAUCUAUCAUCUAUCGUCUCACUUCUUGAUCCCGUAGAGACUUGUUCCGCAAGGAACAGAUUCCGAUAAUACAUCGGGAUAACACGUCGACCCCCGGCGAACACCGGGGUGAAGAUAUAGUCCAAACAACUAGUAAUAGUUGAGUAUUUUGCGUGAGACAGUUCGGUCUCUAUCCAGUGCAAGCGUUCGAUUCUUGAGGGAAGCUCUCUCUAGUACGAGAGGACCGAGAGGGACAGAUCCCUGGUGUGCCUGUUGUCGGAAAACCGGCAACGCAGGGUAGCUAGAUCUGGACGGGAUAAGUGCUGAAAGCAUCUCAAGCGCCAAGCCCACCCCAAGAUAAAGAAUCGUUCCCGAUGUAAAUCGGGAUAAGAUCUGUCGUAGACCACGACGUAUAUAGGCGAGGAGUGUACGCAUCGCAAGGUGUUUAGCUUACUCGUACUAAUAGAUCGAAAGUUGAGGAGAA